rnacentral:lncRNA from 12 species
ACAAAUAUAGUUUGAUUAUUAGAUAUAAUCAAAACAUAGCAUUAGAAGACAUAGUGGCUAUAAAAGAAGCACAUAACACUUCUUUUACCUUCAGUGUAAACAUAAUUUUAAUGAUAAAUUGAAACUAUCUCAUGAAAUUGUUUUAAUUUAAAUUUAAUCAGAUGGUUUGUGAUAAUUCUCUUGCAAUCACUGCUCUAUAAUGAUAUUUGAUUAGUAAUAGUCCAAUGACAUAUAGACUUUUGAGAAUGAAAAUUCACACUGAAAUCCCUAAGAUCCAUAGUUUAUUUUAAAAUCUAAUUUGUAUUUGUAAUUGUUUUUCUCAUUUAUAAGAUGAUAUCUUCUUUUCACUGGAUUUACCAAGUUUGAAAUCAUUGCAAGAAAAGUAUGUCUGUAGCUGCUCAGGAAAGAGACCCAGAACCAGGAAAGUCAUAUUAGUAACUGGAAUGAACACACCAGCAAUGAGAGAAUACAAACUUCCUGAUAAUAAUAAUAGUAGAAUGUAUAAGUUUUACAAACAUUGCAGCAAGUUUGUUACAGGAAAUUAAUGGAUACUCUGUGGGUCAGAGUAAACCCA